UUAAGUUAAUAAGGGCGCACGGUGGAUGCCUUGGCACUAGAAGCCGAUGAAGGACGUGACUAACGACGAAAUGCUUUGGGGAGCUGUAAGUGAGCAAUGAUCCAGAGAUGUCCGAAUGGGGGAACCCGGCAGGUAAUGCCUGUCACUCAUUACUGUUAAGGUAAUGUAGAGGAAGACGCAGUGAACUGAAACAUCUAAGUAGCUGCAGGAAGAGAAAGCAAAAGCGAUUGCCUUAGUAGCGGCGAGCGAAACGGCAAGAGGGCAAACCGAAGAGUUUACUCUUCGGGGUUGUAGGACUGCAACGUGGACUUAAAGAUUAUAGAAGAACUACCUGGGAAGGUAGGCCAAAGAGAGUAAUAGCCUCGUAUUCGAAAUAGUCUUUAUACCUAGCAGUAUCCUGAGUACGGCGAGACACGAGAAAUCUCGUCGGAAUCUGGGAGGACCAUCUCCCAACCCUAAAUACUCUCUAGUGACCGAUAGUGAACCAGUACCGUGAGGGAAAGGUGAAAAGCACCCCGGGAGGGGAGUGAAAUAGAACCUGAAACCGUGUGCCUACAACAAGUUCGAGCCCGUUAAUGGGUGAGAGCGUGCCUUUUGUAGAAUGAACCGGCGAGUUACGAUAUGAUGCGAGGUUAAGUUGAAGAGACGGAGCCGUAGGGAAACCGAGUCUUAAUAGGGCGUAUUAGUAUCAUGUCGUAGACCCGAAACCAUGUGACCUACCCAUGAGCAGGUUGAAGGUGAGGUAAAACUCACUGGAGGACCGAACCAGGGCACGUUGAAAAGUGCUUGGAUGACUUGUGGGUAGCGGAGAAAUUCCAAACGAACUUGGAGAUAGCUGGUUCUCUCCGAAAUAGCUUUAGGGCUAGCGUCGAUGUUAAGUCUCUUGGAGGUAGAGCACUGUUUGGGUGAGGGGUCCAUCCCGGAUUACCAAUCUCAGAUAAACUCCGAAUGCCAACGAGAUAUAAUCGGCAGUCAGACUGCGAGUGCUAAGAUCCGUAGUCGAAAGGGAAACAGCCCAGACCACCAGCUAAGGUCCCAAAAUAUAUGUUAAGUGGAAAAGGAUGUGGGGUUGCACAGACAACUAGGAUGUUAGCUUAGAAGCAGCUAUUCAUUCAAAGAGUGCGUAAUAGCUCACUAGUCGAGUGACCCUGCGCCGAAAAUGUACCGGGGCUAAAACAUAUUACCGAAGCUGUGGAUACCUUUAUAGGUAUGGUAGGAGAGCGUUCUAUGUGCGAAGAAGGUGUACCGUGAGGAGUGCUGGAGCGCAUAGAAGUGAGAAUGCCGGUAUGAGUAGCGAAAGACAGGUGAGAAUCCUGUCCACCGUAAGACUAAGGUUUCCAGGGGAAGGCUCGUCCGCCCUGGGUUAGUCGGGACCUAAGGAGAGACCGAAAGGUGUAUCCGAUGGACAACAGGUUGAUAUUCCUGUACUAGAGUAUAUAGUGAUGGAGGGACGCAGUAGGCUAACUAAACCAGACGAUUGGAAGUGUCUGGCCAAGCAGUGAGGUGUGAUAUGAGUCAAAUGCUUAUAUCUAUAACAUUGAGCUGUGAUGGGGAGCGAAGUUUAGUAGCGAAGUUAGUGAUGUCACACUGCCGAGAAAAGCUUCUAGCGUUAAUUAUACUCUACCCGUACCGCAAACCGACACAGGUAGUCGAGGCGAGUAGCCUCAGGUGAGCGAGAGAACUCUCGUUAAGGAACUCGGCAAAAUGGCCCCGUAACUUCGGGAGAAGGGGCGCUGACUGAUGGUCAGCCGCAGUGAAUAGGCCCAAGCAACUGUUUAUCAAAAACACAGCUCUCUGCUAAAUCGUAAGAUGAUGUAUAGGGGGUGACGCCUGCCCGGUGCUGGAAGGUUAAGAGGAGUGCUUAGCGUAAGCGAAGGUAUGAAUUGAAGCCCCAGUAAACGGCGGCCGUAACUAUAACGGUCCUAAGGUAGCGAAAUUCCUUGUCGGGUAAGUUCCGACCCGCACGAAAGGCGUAAUGAUUUG
rnacentral:rRNA from 1 species